ensembl:lncRNA
UCCAAGACACUGCUAAUUGCUGAGCAGUGAUGUCUUUGGUGGAAAACCUUCCCUAAUACCCAAAUACAUCCCCCAUUGCCUGUCUGUGAUCCUCAGGAAUGGGCCUGUUUUGUUAACAGGUUAACCAAUGAUCGGUAGAUUCAAUUCAAGUUUAUUCAAGAAAUUGAGCACAAAAAAAUGAUUGCUAUUAUAGAUAUCGCAGCCUCUGUCUGUGAUCAGUAUUUAGAGAAACCACGUUAUGAUGCUUUGUGCUCCUGUAAUUCUUUCCCUUAAUUAUCUCAAAGCACCUGAACUACAGUAUAACCCUUACAGCACCUGGUAAUGAAAGAAAUGUAGUGUUUACAAUUAGGCAAAUGCACAGCUAGAGCCAAAAUUAUCAAACAUGAAUGCUUAAAUACAGCAAUUUGAAGUGCUGUUUACUUUAGUAAGUGUUAAGUAUGUCUAUCACUGACUUUAAAGAAACCAGAAGGUGAUCUCUGAGUUUGUGAAAUAAAACUAUUUAUUUAACCAUGCGGGAACAUAACCGUGCUUGAAUUUAAGCAACAUGUUCUUAAGUUUAGUGUGGUUUAUUGUAUUCUGUAAUUAUGAAGUGCAUGAAAUAAAUCUGUCUCAGGGCCUUACAUCAGAGGAUCUGAAAUAAAUGCAUUUCAGUGCAACAAAGCCAUGUGGAGUGCAGUGUAGCGACUACCUCACAGCACAUAGGAACUUCUCACAACACUGUACAGGACAGGGUGAAGAAGGCUUUGAGCUGCAACUGCAGGGAGAAUCUAGGUCAGAAGGAUGCAAUUACUUGAGCUGACUGAGCAAUGGAAAAAAUCCACUAAUGCUCACUAGAGCUCAAAAGCAAUCUAGGUUUACUUUCACUUACAGAAGUGAAUUUAAGCAAAAGCUUAAGUACUAGCAAAAUAUAUGUUGAAUUGGAUUGUUCACGUUACACUUUAAAUGUGAAAUGUAUUUGCAAGAUUUGAAAGACUCUUGGUGCAGAAACUGCAUCCUCUGAAUGACUAGCCAACACUGCAUUAAUGUAAAAGUUAGGUAAUAAAUAUUCACAGCAAACUGUUCACAAGAUAUUUGUAUAAUGAAAACGUUUUCCAAAUAGACUCACAAAUAUAUAAAUUACUGUGUGAAUUUUCGGAGCACUUUGUGAGCAGAAGAAAAAGAAGUGUGCUGACUCAAGUAUCUAUCAGAAAGGAAUUUCUAUUUUAUGAUCCUGUUCUUACAGAGGGUAUCCUGGGAUUAAAGAACCAGCAUCAGUGUGAAUGAUUUAAACCGAAACACCAGAUGACCUGAAAUAUUGUAAAACAUAAACAUUUCAUUUUCUGUAGUUGACUGGCAUCCAUUAAUAUGCAAGGAUGCUACUGUUCUCAAUGCUACUCAAGUGAGGAAGAAACGGGCUAGUUCCCUGUUUUGAAAAGUGAUUGAAUGCUAUUACCACAAUAAAAAUAGGUUUCACAAAAUAGCUGAGAUCAUUCACUGUGUGAAAUCUGCUUGUUGCCCAGUCUGCAGCAGCCUGGGAGCAGCAGAACCAGGCACAGACUUCACACGUGACUGAACUACAGAAUCCUUUUGGUCUUGCAAAGUGUCUUAUUUGGUAAAUGUAUUGUAAUAUUCAGUACAUUAAACAAGUGUGGAGCAAUACAGGAGAAUUUAAAUUCUACUUAUUCUACAUAAUUUAUAGCAUGUUUUAUAAAUACAUUCUCAGAAAAAUAAUAAAAAAGGCAGUGAUAAAUAUAAAAUAUAAAAUUGGGAAAUUUAGCUUGACUUCUAUUUGCACAGAUCUAAAUCUCAUAGAUAUCAGCUGAUGGGAAAAUGUUAGUAAUGCUAUCUUCCUGUAUCUGGUUUUUUUUUUUUCAUCAAAUGUAGUCAGUGCCACAUCUGUCAAAAUAUCUUGCCACUUGCUUUACUGGUAAAAACAGGUUAAAUGUAAUGGCUACUUACAUUUUUAAUAAGACACAUGGAUGACUUUAGUGGUGGAUACUAGGAUGGUGACACCAGUUACCAACUAUUUCUUCCAUAAAUAUAAAUGACAAUUUUAGACAUUCUGACAGCUGUUCUAGUUCAGAGAAUAUUAUAUAGUUCUGUAAUAGACCUUAGACCAAACUCUCCAAAUACAUAUAGCUAAAGUUAGGAUUUCUACUCCCAUUUUUAGACAGCUCUGUAAAAUUGUACAACUCUGUAAGAUUUUGUCGUCUUGUUCCUAUCAGACAAUAUGAACAACUAGAUCAACAAUUUUGAGAGUAAGACCCCUCAUCCUAGGUCACAAAGGAUGUCUUAAAAAAAUCUUAAAUCUGUCAGUAAACUUGAAUCCUAAAUUGAAAUGUUCUCUGUUUUUCAAGACUUGGGGUCUCACAAAGCUUUACUUAUGAAUUUAAGCAGGCAGCCCCUCUCCUUUUGUACCUUUUUUGCAUUAUGAUUCAGAAUCUGCAAUCAGAAAAGCACUGAAUUUGGUCAAGUCCAUCUGUUACCUUCAUCUUAAUGAUUUUAUUCCAUAGGCCUAAGAUUUUAUCUAUUUUACCUGAAUUUGCAACUCUUCUAAAAAAAUAUCUAAGCCUAUUAGGAAAGGUAGUUAGUGGCACUCAUUUAUACAUUACAUAGCUGGAUCCAGUGAUGGAUUCAUACGUAGUGAUGAAGAAUAAGUUUUAUGAGAUCUAGAAGGUGGAGUGGACUAACAGCAAAGAUUUGAAAUAAUUUAGCACAGUAUUCUACACUAGAAAAUUAUUUCUGAAGUUCCUUAAGAGUAAUUUAAUGUAAUUUCCUAAAAUGCAUAAGAUUCAUAAAGCUUUGUGGCUAAAACCACUGUAUAGGCUUCUACAAGAUUGUUGUAUACGAAAAUAAUUGUUACAAACAGAAGCUUCAAUGUCAACAAAAGAAAACUAAAGCUGCCUUGUGUGCAUUUCUUUUCACGGAUUCCAAUCAACAUAGACCAUGCAUGGGACAAUGUGUCUAGAUGCAGUCACCAAAGCCACAUAAUGCAGUGAUAUAAGAUAAUCCUACUUGCAAUGGAAUGUGGGUCAUAUGAAAUAACUACACAUUAAAGAGAGAAGAAACUCAGCUCUAGAAGACAGGUAUAUAAUAGAAAUAGACAGGUUGUAUUCAAGUGGAUAUGGAGGCAAGAACUAGAAAGAAAGGAAAAAGCUUUUGUCACCAAUUGGCUUGAUGUAGGAGGGCUGAAAGAAGUAAGGCUCUUAUGAGUACAAAAGUUCAGUGAGCAGAAGGCAAUAAAAGCAUGGCAACAAAUCCUCCACUAACAGCAAUAACACAAAUGGGAGAUUAGCUUGAAUAUUGUUGUUCCCAAAGGAGUCAUUCAAGGGUGAAGUUUGUAUUAGGAACUUCUGGAUCCAGCACAGAAGAUUUUAGGGAAGGACAUAACUGAGGCAGGCCAAUGCCACAGUUUGUAGAAGCAAGCAGUGGGCAAUAUUUUUUGCAAGAAGAGCAGUUUUGGAAAAGGGGCUACAGAGCCAGCUUCACCUGUACAAUGUUUGUAAGUAAUUUUUAAUGUAAAUUGCCAGUUAACUUCAUGAGGAGUGAAUUUUACAGGAGGGCAAUGUUGGAGUUACACUGACUCUUCAGGCCUAUGAGGUUUGGUGCAACCUGAAGGUGCCAGCUGACAUCUAUAGGCAUCUGUUGGAGCAAGACAGCAUUCUGAUGCUGCAUCCCUGUGAGGGAAGCUAACUGCAGGGGAACAGCAGAGAAAAAAGAGGAAAGGUGCUGUAAGAAAAUAUGUAAAAAAAAAAAAAAAAAACAUCUUUUUAGUUAAUGACUGUAAUAUUGAGAAAGAAAAAGGGGUUCAAAGGUGUGUGGGGAUUGCUAGGCCCCAGCCUGAACCUGAGCACCAGGUGAGAAGUCAUGGCUAACCCAGGGAGCUCAGGUACAAGCAAUGCACCUGAGGCCCUCAAUUAAGGGCUAGCAGCUGAGGGAGCAGAGAUCAUGCUCUUCUCAAGACAUCGCUGGUCUUUUGAAAGGGUGAGUCACCUUCUUCUGUAUCUUUGUAAACUAAACCUUAACUAAUUCCUUUGUGCUCCUGUCCUAGCAGAAGGCAUUAUCAUCACUUUCCAUUGCUCCACAGAAGGAAAAAAAGAAAUAUGAGAAAACAUUGACAAAGCUUGAACAACUGCCUGCAGCAUAAUGAUUUUCUGCAUUUUUUUUUUGUCAGGUGUUCCUGUGCUUUAUCAGUACUUACGUAGUGAUUCCCUUGAAACCACAUAGAUCAUUAACCUGGUGUUGGGUACGGAAGAGUAAUAACUCAUUUUUUAGCUUUCGGUCUUUAAUUCUAUUUUUUCUUUUUUCAAAAGCUCUGUGUUCAGUCUGUCUCUUGUCACAUGUAGAAAUAAUAAAGCAGAUAUGUGUGUGGGGUAAGGGCUACAAGCUUGGUUUGUAGGUCACCUUCAGUACAGGUGACCUUUAGGCAAAUGACCUACUAGGUUCUUCACAUCUACCACAUCAGCUGAUGGGGAAAGAGCUGUGGACAGCUGGAGCCCAGAGCCCAUGUGACAACGGCCAAAAUGUUCCUCUGCUGAGUGGCUGGCACCCACAGGCCCUGUCCCUUGGACUCGGGCUGAUUCAGCAGCCUACUCAAACAUGGCAGUGAUUGUUCACCCCACAGCCAGUGUCUGUUGCCAGCAGGAUUCUUCAGAAGACACCCAGGACACUUGGAGGUGACACUCCCUGGCUUCUGGCAGCUUAGAGACUGCUCCCACAGCUUUGCUGCAAACCUUCCACCUCUUCCCAUCUCUAUCUUUCUAAUUCUCAAGUCUCCGUGUUUUCCCUGACGUGGAUGGGUGUGAUGUUCUCAUGUUCUGGCCCUGCUGCUCACAAAGAGGGAACAGACAUCGAAGGUCUCUCUGUGCUGUCUGCCUCUGAAAGGAUUGCUCUCAAAUGGGAAAGAAAAUCAUGUACAAGUGGCAUUUCUUGAAUUGUGGAGCUACUGGAUGAUGUUCUUCAGGUCUUUCAGGUUAGGGGAGAAAGGAGAGACUGAAAGUAGGGAAAUCAGUGAGGAGGAAGUAAAGAAAAUAAUAUCCAUGAUGAAUAUAGGCUGCAAGAGAGAGCAGUGCUUUUAAGGAAAUGGGAGAGUGAGCAACAAAAAAUAUGGAAACAAAAGCCACAAUAAAACACUUCUAGAAACCUUAAGUGUUAGGAGAAAAGUAUAUCGUGCCAGAUCUGACAAAUCGCACUGCCAUUCAUUACAAAAUGACAAAAAUAGAGAAAAACAAAAUGCAGCACACUUAAAAAUUGUUUCAAGAAAUGCACAGCAGUGUGUGAUGCCAUGCUAGGAAAGCAAGUCGAAAUAUUAAAAAGAAAUAGCUCUCUUCCAUGUCCCAAAAAUGUCACACAGAAUAUUGUCUUUUCAGCUACACACCUUUAUGAUUUUACUUGUAAAUUAUUUUCAUUAAAUACUUAUUUUUUCUAAAUGUAUAUACCUGUGAUUCUACGUAGUGCUGUACGAUUCAUCCAAAUGUUUCUUUUUCCUUCAGAUAGCAUUAUAUGACGGUUAAGAGAUAACAGUUUACUCACAGACACAAAGCCCAGCUCACAAGGAUAUCAGGAAUAAUGGAAAAACAGGAAAUGGAAAUAACAAAGAUACUCAAGUCUCAUUCAAAAACGUUAGCUGUAUACCACCUUCUUCCUAACACACAAGCAGAUUUAAAGCCUGCCUACACUUGAAGGAGCCAGCUGUAGGGUUGCUUUCACCCCACCCAUGCAUAUUACAUUCAGCCUGUGCUGUCUUCUCAUGGAACACUUUCCCAGCUCCUCCUGGGUGAGGGACUCUGCCUGUGAGCAGGUGAAAGCAAGGUGGGCUGCCCAUUCUGCAGGGAGACACACGGGGAAAGCAAACGCUCUGGUUCUUGAUCAGUUUGUGAAAUAUAAAGAAGUACAAACCAGAUGAUUUCCCUGUUCUUAUUCGGUAUUCAGUGCACAUUCCUCCCUCCUCCUUCAGCAGUCCCUGGCAUUUUAGCUACCCAGAUGCUGCAGCAUUUAAUCAAUGAUUCAAUACACAGCCCAUGAGAUGUGCUACGACACUUCAACAAGCAACUUCUAUCACUCCGUGGGGACAGAGGAUCUGAGUUGCUGUCAGUCUCUUCUUGUCAGAUAUAAUUAACCAUACACCCAUUUACAUACAUAAAUAUUUAUACACAAAGAGGAAACUUCCUAGUGCUUCAUCAGAUCUCUGUUUAUCUCAGUGGAUUCUGAUGGCAGCAAAACACAGUCUAGUUUUGUUAAAAACUCAGAGAGAAUUUUGAAUCUCAUAAACGCGGAUAUUGUAGCCCGGAUUGUGAGAGGCUGAGAACCUGCAGCUUCUGGGGACACCUGAAAAUGGGAGGCGCACAGUGUCUCUUUCAUUUUAAAGCAGCUGUCCACAGUCAUAACACAGACACGGGGCAACAAACAACAGAUCGUACAAAACUUUUACAAUAUUCUGCUUUUGUUUCAGGCUUAAAAAAAAAAAAAUAAAAUGAAUACUGCAGGUGAGGAGCGUGGCAAGGCAGAAGAUUCAUAAUGGGUCUUUGGCAGCUGAACUGCACGGCCCAGGGUUACGGCUCAUCUUGUGUUGGGGUGGGAGCAGCUCAAGACAAGCUGUGUACAUAGCUUAUCUUCCACAAAAUUGCUGGAUAAACCAGAGCAUCUCUAGCAUACAUAAUGCUUACAUGCUUUAGGAAUCUUCCUUUUCUUGCUAAUGAUUUAGAUGGCACGUGAAUUGAGUAAAAAAAAACAAAAAGUGAAGAAUUGGCACUGGGCACUGGGCUUAGUUUAGCUGAGAAAAGACAUUUUCUCAGGAAGCGCGAAAGAAUCUUGAAGAGGAACUGGAGGACACCAGCAGUUCUUGGAGAGAGGCUGAGCAGGUAGAGCGGAACAUGGCUGUUAAACUGAAGCUCUUGUUCGAUUUUCUAGUUUGUUAUACAUUGCAAAGUUUGGCUGCCAAAGCUAGGCUUCUAACUUCUAAAUUAGUUUGUGCAGUCUAAAGCGCAUCUGUUUUUUCCAGCUGUCUCGUUUGCUGUAGUGAAAUAGAUUCUCUGUUAUAAAAGUUAGGCUGUCACAACCACCACAACGCUCUAACUCAAAAAACACCUUUUUUGUUUCCUUUCCUCCAGAGAGCGUGACACUGAUGAUGAGCUGGGAUUGCCUGUCCCACCCUGUCCCCUUCCAGGCAGCGUGUCUCAGCCAAGUGCUGUGCUCAGGGAGCUUCCGGAGAGCCACAGCUGUUAUGCUUAGGAGAUGCUGACACUACAGAGGGAUCCUCACAGGGAACACAGGUGACUCAGAAAUCCCGUCCUUUUCACUGAUGGCAUAUGAUGACAGAGAACAGUCUGUUCUGGAGUAGAUUCUGUGGAAGUCUGGAUGAAACAACUUCUAGAGUAACUUACUUGCUGGAAAAUAUGAUUUCAAGUGACUCCUGCCUUUCAAGUUUGAUAGGAUUGAUUCUGUGAGAACGCCUGGCUUCAUUUAUGUAAUUAUCUUCAUUAAUGCCAAGAAGAUUCAAUCCUGAAUCUCUGAUUGAUCACCUGAGGCGAGCACUGAGUCAGCUGUGGGAGCACAGGUGAAGGCAAUUCACCUGUGUGACCUGAAGAGGUGGAGUCUGGCUGCACCUCUCCUAGACCCCAUGUGAGGGCUGACUGCUACUGAGAAAGGAUCUCUUUCUGGAGAUUACUCCUUUUGGAGUUUUCUUCUGUGAGCCUAUGACAUGGCAGAAUAUUCAACACAUAGCGACCAAACCCACGAGGGAACAGAAGUACGAGCACCAGCGAUGCAGUAUCUUCAGUAACCAUGCUGUUUUGGGUUCAGGCUUACACCCACCCACAUAUGUUGUAUUAUACCAUUGCAUAACCAGAGAUCUCAGGAGCCUGAAUUCUCAGUCUCUGUGGCUGCACACUGCAAUUGCUGUGCCAAUACGAAAAUAGUGGUAUCAUAUGCUGAUGCACCAUCCCGUCAAAGUGCUACUAGCGUGACUUUCCCUGAGACAUGGGGUAUUUCUGCAGGCCUUCAUUUCUGCAUUAGAAAUCCACCCAGGAAAAUGACGUGCUAAAGAGGAAAUUUCUGAAAACGUUUGUUAAUGCCUAUGUAAAUUACAGAUGCUUUCUGUAAUUGCUUGUUAGUACAGAGCCAAAAGGAGG